rnacentral:rRNA from 1 species
GAUGAACGCUGGCGGCGUGCCUAAUACAUGCAAGUCGAGCGAACAGACGAGGAGCUUGCUCCUCGGACGUUAGCGGCGGACGGGUGAGUAACGCGUGUAUAACCUACCUAUAAGACUGGGAUAACUUCGGGAAACCGGAUCUAAUACCGGAAAAUUUAUUGAACCGCAUGGUUCAAUAGUAAAAUACGAUUUUGCUGUCACUUGUAGAUGGAUCCUCGCAUCAUUAGCUAGUUGGUAAGGUAACUGCUUACCAAGGCAACGAUGCGUAGCCGACCGGAGAGGGUGAUCGGCCACACUGGACCUGAGACACGGUCCAGACUCCUACGGGAGGAAGCAGUAGGGAAUCUCCCGAAAUGGGCGAAGGCCUGACGGAGCAACGCCGCGUGAGUGAUGAAGGUCUUCGGAUGGUAAAACUCUGUUAUUAGGGAAGAACAAAUGUGUAAGUAACUAUGCACGUCUUGACGGUACCUAAUCAGAAAGCCACGGCUAACUACGUG